GGCUCAGAAUCAACGCGGGCGGCGCGCUUAACACAUGCAAGUCGAACGAGAAAGCCCGCAAGGGUGAGUAAAGUGGCGUACGGGUGAGUAACACGUGGGUAAUCUACCUCUGGGUGGGGAAUAACCCUGGGAAACCGGGGCUAAUACCGCAUAAGCCUGGAAAGGGAAAGGCGAAAGUCGCCGAGAGAGGAGCCCGCGGCCGAUUAGCUAGUUGGUAGGGUAAAGGCCUACCAAGGCGAUGAUCGGUAGCCGGCCUGAGAGGGCACACGGCCACACUGGCACUGAAACACGGGCCAGACUCCUACGGGAGGCAGCAGUGGGGAAUCUUGCACAAUGGGGGCAACCCUGAUGCAGCGACGCCGCGUGAGCGAUGAAGCCCUUCGGGGUGUAAAGCUCUUUCGGCUGGAACGAUGAUGACGGUACCAGCAGAAGAAGCUGCGGCUAACUACGUGCCAGCAGCCGCGGUAAUACGUAGGCAGCGAGCGUUGUUCGGAGUUACUGGGCGUAAAGAGUGCGUAGGCGGUGACCUAAGUCUGGUGUGAAAUCUCCCGGCUCAACUGGGAGGGUGCGCCGGAAACUGGGUUGCUUGAGUGUGGGAGAGGCUAGCGGAAUUCCUGGUGUAGCGGUGAAAUGCGUAGAGAUCAGGAGGAACACCUGCGGUGUAGACGGCUGGCUGGACCACGACUGACGCUGAGGCACGAAAGCGUGGGGAGCAAACAGGAUUAGAUACCCUGGUAGUCCACGCCCUAAACGAUGCAUACUUGGUGUGGGUGAUUCAUUUCAUCCGUGCCGGAGCUAACGCGUUAAGUAUGCCGCCUGGGGAGUACGGUCGCAAGGCUGAAACUCAAAG
rnacentral:rRNA from 1 species